rnacentral:misc_RNA from 1 species
ACGCGCAGGCCGGAGGCUGGCCCCCCACGAUAGGGAUCAGCGUUCCAUCAGGGGUGUGCAGAUGUGCGCCGGCCUUACGCCCCAUUCUUGUCUACCUUACUCGGUUGCCUCGGCGGGCCGCGCUCUCCCCGGAGAGUCGUCCGGCGAGCCUCUUCGGGGGCUUUAGCUGGAUCGCGCCCGCCGGAGGACAGACAUCAAAAAAUCUUGAAGAGCUGUCAGUCUGAGCGUUAGCAAGCAAAAUCAGUUA